rnacentral:lncRNA from 1 species
AUAUACGGAUUGUACCAGUGGACGUUUUUUUUCAGGUGUGGUCGAAGCCAAUGGACUUACUGCGGUGGUUUUUGGCAAUAGAGAAUUUAUAGGAAACUUCAUUGACUCCCAACACACAUUCAUUGAUGGAACCUUCAAGGCAGUACCGAGAAGACCUAACUUUUGUCAAAUCUUGACCAUAUUUGCCACUUGCAUGGAUCAUGCUUUUCCAGUUGCACAUAUUUUCAUGGAGAGAAGAACGAAAAUCUUGUAUGAUGCUGCUUUUGCCUACCUGCGUGAGAACUUCCCACAAUUUAUCAAUAUUAACGUUGUGACGGACUAUGAGGUGGCUUUGGUGGAAUCACUGAGGAACAACUUUCCCAAUGCCUCAUUGCAUGGUUGUUUUUUCCAUUAUUGUCAGGCGGUAUUACGAAAAGCCAGGACUUUAGGGAUUACACGGCAGAUCGAGGGAUGACCUAAUGGAAGAGUCUUAUUGAAGAAAUACUAUUGUUUGGCGCUUCUACCUGCGGAGAUGAUUGAACCGACAUUAGUUUCCUUGCAGGUUUUU